rnacentral:tRNA from 1 species
GCCGCACAGGCCGAAUUGGUGAGGCACCCGGCUUCCACCCGGGAGAAUCGAGUUCGACUCUCGAGUGCGGCU